rnacentral:rRNA from 1 species
GNAAGNNNCGGGGUGCCUAAUACAUGCAAGUCGAGCGGACAGAUGGGAGCUUGCUCCCUGAUGUUAGCGGCGGACGGGUGAGUAACACGUGGGUAACCUGCCUGUAAGACUGGGAUAACUCCGGGAAACCGGGGCUAAUACCGGAUGCUUGAUUGAACCGCAUGGUUCAAUUAUAAAAGGUGGCUUUUAGCUACCACUUACAGAUGGACCCGCGGCGCAUUAGCUAGUUGGUGAGGUAACGGCUCACCAAGGCAACGAUGCGUAGCCGACCUGAGAGGGUGAUCGGCCACACUGGGACUGAGACACGGCCCAGACUCCUACGGGAGGCAGCAGUAGGGAAUCUUCCGCAAUGGACGAAAGUCUGACNGACCAACGCCGCGUGAGUGAUGAAGGUUUUC